GUCGGUGGAGGGAGGGUCGCUACACGGCGUGGAGGGAGGCUACGCCGCGCGGGGAUGGACGGGGUGGAAUAGGCCACUACGGCGGGUGGUGGUGGAGGGAGGGGCACGGUGCGGGGUGGAGGGAUGGGUGGAAGAGGCCGCGCCGCGUAUGGGACGGGUGGAAGAGUCAACCGCGGCGGAGGGAAGAGGUGAUGCGGCGGGGUAGGGCGCCGCGGCCCGAGGGGGGGAGGACGCGGUGCGGCGAAAGGAGGAGCGCGGCGGCGCGGUCGGGGGAGGGCGUGGCGGCCCGGCGGGGCGAGGGCGCGCCGCGGUGAAGGGAGGAGCGGCGGAGGGAGGGCGGCGCGCGGCGGCGUGGUCAAUGUGGUGGCGGGGGCUGCCUAGGGCAGCUGGGGUCUCUGGUGGCCGCACUACCUCGGGGGGGUUGGGGUGGCAGGGCUGCCUAGGAACGCGGGAGCUUAGCCCGGCUCGGACCGUGGGUGCCUAGGUCGGCUCGGAGCACAGAGGCCGGUAGAAGGAACGACCUAGGUCCCUCCUAGGACGACGCGGCAGCGCGGGGAAGGGGACGACGCGGCGGCGUGGGCCUAGGUCAGUUGGAGGUCGGCCACGGGUGGUAGUGCGCGUCGGACCUCAACCGCCCGCCUAGGUCGGGGCCAGGUAGCAGGAGCGCCGUCUCUCGAUCUAGCUCCCCUCUUCUGUAGGGUACAAAAGGUCGCAGGAGGUGGUUGGUGCCGUUGCACACGCCGCCGACUGACGAAGGAUACCGAUGAACUGCCUGUUGUGAAGGCACCGCCGGCCGCCACUCACGGUGUGGUAGGUUGAAGGUGGGUGUACGCGCACGUCACGUGUUGGCGACGCAACGUCGGUGGAAGGUCCACGAACCCAGAGGGCAGCUCCCGGAGGUAGCCGUCACCAGCAUCAUCGAUGCCCUCGUGUCGACAUCCACCGCGACACCGUAGUAACGAAGACGAUGAUUGACGUCUGGUGAAACAACGUCGAACGUCGGGUGUAGUCCCCCCACUCGUCGAGGGUACCCUCCUCAAGCCCCCGCCGUCACGUGAGGCCACCCUCGUCACCACGUGAGACCAGUACCACGUCACGUGGGGCAAAGUCAUACGGUAUAGUUGUGUAGAAACCGCAACCCGAAAGAUAGUCGAUCACUUUUAUCGAACGAACACCGUUCGACCACACACGAACUUCGUCAGCACACACACACCUACACGUCACGUCAGUCCGCUACACACGUCCAACCCA
rnacentral:rRNA from 1 species